GCAAGUCGAGGGGUAACAUGAGAGCUUGCUCUUGAUGACGACCGGCGCACGGGUGAGUAACACGUAUGCAACCUACCUUUUACAGGAGAAUAACCCAGAGAAAUUUGGACUAAUACUCCAUAACGUUUAUUAAUCGCAUGAUUAAUAAAUUAAAGCUCCGGCGGUAAAAGAUGGGCAUGCGUCCUAUUAGUUAGUUGGUAAGGUAACGGCUUACCAAGACUAUGAUAGGUAGGGGUUCUGAGAGGACAAUC
rnacentral:rRNA from 1 species